rnacentral:rRNA from 1 species
CAUGUCCUUUAGUUUAAAAUUUAAGGUUUAGCCUGCCCAGUGAUUAUUUAAAUGGCCGCGGUAUUUUGACCGUGCAAAGGUAGCAUAAUAAUUAGUUUUUUAAUUGGAAACUGGAAUGAAUGGUUGAACGAGAUGAUUUCUGUCUCUUUAAUAAUUUUAUUAAAAUUUAAUUUUUAAGUUAAAAAGCUUAAAUGUUUUAGUAAGACGAGAAGACCCUAUAGAGUUUAAUAUUUAAUUUAAUAUAAGAUUUUAGAAUUUAUUAUUAUAUUGAAGUUAAUUAUUUUGUUGGGGUGACAAAAAGAUAAAACUAACUCUUUUUAUUUUAUAAUACUAAUUAGUAAACUUUUGAUCCAUUUUUUAUGAUUAUAAGAUUAAAUUACCUUAGGGAUAACAGCGUUAUUUUUUUGAAGAGUUCUAAUCGAUAAAAGAAAUUGCGACCUCGAUGUUGGAUUAAAAUUUAUAUUAGGUGUAGAAGCUUAAAUAUUGGGUCUGUUCGACCUUUAAAAUUUUACAUGAUCUGAGU